rnacentral:tRNA from 1 species
AUUUAUUUAGUUUAAAUUAAAACAUUAUAUUUUCAUUAUAAAAAUGAUAUUUUAUCAAUAAAUA